rnacentral:rRNA from 1 species
CCUACGGGAGGCAGCAGUAGGGAAUAUUGCGCAAUGGGGGAAACCCUGACGCAGCAACGCCGCGUGAUCGAUGAAGACCUUCGGGGUUUUAAGAUCUGUCAGUGGGGACGAAACCUCACGGUACCCACCGCGGAAGAACUGGCUAACUCCGUGCCAGCAGCCGCGGCAAUACGGGGGGUGCAAGCGUUGUCCGGAAUCAUUGGGCGUAAAGUGUUCGUAGGUGGGACGUUAAGUCUGGUGGUAAAGUCGGAAGCGCAACUUCCGUAGGGCAGUGGAUACUGGCGAGCUUGAGUGCGUUAGAGGUAAGGGGAAUGCCUGGUGUAGCGGUGAAAUGCGUAGAUAUCAGGAGGAACAUCGGUGGCGAAGGCGCUAUACGGGGCCGUAAUUGACGCUGAGGAACGAAAGCCGGGGUAGCAAAUGGGAUUAGAUACCCUUGUAGUC